UACGUAGGGAGCGAGCGUUGUCCGGAAUUACUGGGUGUAAAGGGAGCGUAGACGGCAGUGCAAGUCUGGAGUGAAAGGCGGGGGCUCAACCCCCGGACUGCUCUGGAAACUGUACGGCUGGAGUGCAGGAGAGGUAAGUGGAAUUCCUAGUGUAGCGGUGAAAUGCGUAGAUAUUAGGAGGAACACCAGUGGCGAAGGCGGCUUACUGGACUGUAACUGACGUUGAGGCUCGAAAGCGUGGGGAGCAAACAGG
rnacentral:rRNA from 1 species